UUUUUUGUCUUGUUUGAAUUUGUUUGUUUGUUUAUUUUUCAGGCCCCAGCUCUAGGAAACUAUGAUUAACACAUUAACAAAAAUACUGACGCCUCCAAUCAGGACAUAGAAGCCAUGCUCUCCCAAGAGUCAGUUGGGGUAGACAGGUCAAUAGCCUAUGCCAGCUGCAAGUUUAACCCACUUGAGCAAAGGGAGAAAGAAGACUGGGAUGUAUCUGAACUCAUGUGAGACUUACCCGAGACUGAAGAGAAGUCUGAUAGUCAGUGUUAUUCCUUUCCAUCAAUGCUGACAAUGUCAACGGUCAUGGACCUAUAAGAGAAAAGAAGAAAUUAAAACAAUGCACCUGGGAAGACCAACUGGUAUACACAGUGGUGAAUAACAUCUGGGUAUGCUAGGACGGGGUGCAGGGGAGGUUGGAGCCCCAGAAGAGAGCCCUAGUGGGUUUGCUGUUGGCCAGAUGUGGUAUUAAAAGAACAUCUCCCAAUUGGUACCUUCAGAUAAUAUCAAGAAGUCGCAGGCAAGAGUCGGGACCCACCCACCACAGUGAAAAUCAGGCAAGUGAAUGCAUGAGACCCUUGGGGCAAACGGAAAUUACAGGGUAGCUAGAUGUGCAAUCCCAAUCUGGGCAAGCCAAGGAUAAUGAUAAAAUGUCUGUUUCUAUUCUACAGAAUUCCACUAAUAAAGUUAUAGUAUGCAUUCUUGCAGGGUUGUCCAAGUCUCAGAGAGAUAAAGAAUAAUAGAAUCAGAGAAAAUUAAGGUUGGAAGGGACCUCAGGAGGUCAUCUAGUCAAACCUUCUGCUCAAAGCAGGACCAUCCCUAACUAGCUCAUCCCAGCCAAGGCUUUGUCAAGCUGGGUCUUAAAAACCAUCAAGGAUGGAAAUUCUACCACCUCUCUGGGUAACCCAUUCUAGCACUCUACUACCCUUUUAGUGAAAGAGUUUUUUCCUAAUAUUUAACUUAAAUUUCCCUUACUGUAACUUGAGACCAUUGCUCCUUGUUCUGUCAUCUACCACCACUGAGAACAGUCUAGCUCUAUCCUCUUUGUAACCAACCUUCAGGUACAUAAAGGCAGCUGUUAAAUCCCCUCUUGGUCAUCUCCUCUCCAGUGCUAGUGAAAAUUAACUGUUUGGGUUUCAGUGAAUAUUUAAUGAUUAAGGUUUUCUCUGUGGUCAUAUGUUUGUCCUUUUUUCCCCUGUAAUAAGAUCUGUUUCAGUUGAACAUUGCUUGUGAGCAUGUAUUUUUGUUUGCUUUAGAACACCCCAUUAAAAUUUCUGAGUUUUGGGGUGGGAGCUCAAGCCAGAUUUAGAAAAUUGAUGUUAAAUCCCUAAAAUUGAACCUGGACCUUGUUAUUGCCAUCCAAGGCCUAAGAAGGGUUACAUUUGUAUUAUACAAAACAUAUGUCAGAAAAAAAAUUGUCAGUCAAACAUGCUUGGUUGUCAA